GAUGAACGCUGGCGGCGUGCCUAAUACAUGCAAGUCGAGCGAACGGACGAGAAGCUUGCUUCUCUGAUGUUAGCGGCGGACGGGUGAGUAACACGUGGAUAACCUACCUAUCAGACUGGGAUAACUUCGGGAAACCGGAGCUAAUACCGGAUAAUAUUUUGAACCGCAUGGUUCAAUAGUGAAAGACGGCCUUGCUGUCACGUAUAGAGGGAUCUGCGCUGCAUGAGCUAGUUGGUAAGGUAACGGCUUACCAAGGCAACGAGGCAUAGCCGACCGGAGAGGGUGAUCGGCCACCCGGGAACGGAGACACGGUCCAGACUACUACGGGAGGGAGCAGAAGGGAAUCUUCCGCAAUGGGCGAAAGCCUGACGGAGCGACGGCGCGUGAGUGGUGAAGGCCUUGGGAUCGUAAAACUCGGUUAUGAGGGAAGAACAUAUGUGUAAGUAACUGUGCACAUCUUGACGGUAACUAAUCAGAAAGCCACGGCUAACUACGUG
rnacentral:rRNA from 1 species